GAUUUUAUUUAAUGGCUGAGUUCGGGGAGUGCGCUGUUAGAACUAUCGCAUCAUUCUAUCCUUAAUAUACAUAAAAUGAACAAUAAAAAUGAAAUGAUGUGAUAGCGCUAAUAGCGCGCUCCUCAAACGCGACUUAUAGCGACAUUAUGUCGCUCUGCGUUAACGACAAUUGUCGGUAUCGUUAACUAAUGACAGCCAAUGACAGCCGUGCUUUUUUCCACGAUCGUCUUUGUCAUUGGCUAGUCAGUUAACGACACCAACAGCCAAUGGCAAGGACGAUCUUGAAAAAAAGCGCGGCUGUCAUUGGAUGUCGUAGUUAACGAUACCGAUAGUUGUCGUUAAGCGAAUACAGAAUCCUGGCCCUGGCAUAGUUGAUACAUUUAACGUGAGCUUUGUGAUUUAGACGCAAUGGCAUCAUUGGAACCAUUACUGGAAAAUUGGGCAUGGAAAUAUUUUGAAACAAUCGACGAUAAACAAAUAAUGUGCAAAAUAUGUGGGAUUAGUUUUAAUGCAAGUGGAAAAAAAAUACUCGCUUCGCAUAAAGCACAUUUAUUUUACAAACAUAACAUAAGUGAUGCAGAAGAAAUUAGAGCAUGGAGAAUAGAACAAAGUACUAACCCGGUUUGGCAAUAUGUCAAGAAAGAAGGAAUAUUCGCAGUAAAAUGCAAUUUUUGUGAAGAAAUAGUGGAACAUACAUAUGAUAUUUCUAAAAUAGAACGUCAUUGUUCGCCGCAUUUUCAAGAUAUUGAAGAUUCUAUCAAAAAUACAUGGUUACACAACCAUGUUACUUUUAAUAAAAAUCUGAAAAGAAUCUUUUGCUUUUAUUGCAAAGAUUUUUUAUUGCAAAGUCUUGUCGGAAUACAAGAUAUGAAGGAUCAUCUAUUUCUGAUUCACGAUCUCCGUGACACCACCAAAAGAAAGAGAGAUGAAGAUACGGAAGAAAAUAAUACUGAUAUAUUGAAAAGGACAAAGACUGAGGAAAAUAAUGCGAGUACAAAUUUUCAAUAGAACAGAAUAUUUGUGGAAAUUAUCGAAAAUUAAGGACAUAAUUGGUUAUAGCAAAGAGAACAGCAAAGGGAAUGUAGAUUUCGAAUUAGAUAUAAACUGACAAUAUAUCAAGUAACAAUUUUUUAAUGCUUUAUAUCUGAAACAAUUAGAUAUAGGACAAUACAAUUUGAUAAUUAGACUAGAUACAUCUUGAGAUAUGAUUUCAAAAUAUGUUACUUAAAAAGAAAAUAAAAAAUAAUAUAAUAAAUCCAAAA